AUCAAAAAUAAUUUUAGAAUUGAUGUUGAAAGAAUUUGAAUUACGAAAACACAAUUAAAUUUAGAAAACAAUCAUAACCGAUUUUGGAUUCAAAUACUAAAUCUAAAUCCUAAUUCUAGCCCAAUUGGGUGAAGCCCAAAUAAUAAAACCCAAAAAAAUAAUUACUCCCUUCUCUUUCAAUUUCACGUAAAAAGCAAAAACAAGAAAUCAAACCCUUCUCUCUCUCUUUCAACAUUCACGUGAAAACCACUCUCAAGCCUCCAUUGUUGUUCACGGCCGCCGUCACCACUCACCGGCGACCACCCUCACCGCAGCCUUCACGCCGUCGCACGCAACCACAACCGACGCCGAGCAGCAGCAGCCGCCGUCGCUGCUCUCCUCCGACGCCCGGCUUCCUCCACCGUCCAUCUAUUUCGUCGGCGUCGUUCUCUCUCCUCUCUGUUUCGUCACUACUCCACGCUGGCCAUCACCACCUUCGGCAACCAGCCCAUCCGCAACCACUACGCGCCAGCCGCGUCUCCUGGCUCGCCUAACCACCGCCGCUGCCGCGCCCUGCCGCCCGCCAGCAACUCCUUUCUCCUCUUUUGGUGGAGAAUUCUCUUUAGGCAACUUUUGAAAGUGUUAAAGUGGCCUAUCAGUUUGUUUACACAAGUCUCUAAGGAUCAAUAAGCGUUGCCCAUCUACAGGUUUGAAGAUGAUGCAUCAUUGGGAUCGGGAUUAGAGAGCUUGUAGUUCUAUUCGUUUAAUUAAGUGAUUUAAUUUGUUAACUUGGAUUUGAAAUUUGUCGUACUAUUCGUAUUUCCUUAAUUCAGUUAAUUGGUUCGGACCUAAUAUGUAAUAGAUUAUUUAUGAACCUAAAAGUUAUUUUUAUGUUUUCCGCU